rnacentral:tRNA from 1 species
AAGGGUAUAGCUCAGUGGUAGAGCACAUGCUUAGCAUGCACGAGGCCCUGGGUUCAAUCCCCAGUACCUCCA